UUGGAAGUCUUCUUACCCUUGGAGCUAUAAUUGUAACAAUUGUCAUCAUAUUUAAAAAGUGUAAUUAUGGAUCAGUGUGCAAAAAUCCUUCGAAUAUUAACAUCGAGGCUGCUCCUGAACAAUUAAGUCUUGCACAAUUUCCAAAUGGCGAGGCGCGGCAAGAAAAAAAUCGUGUACAAACUUCAAAAGACAAAGGUAAAAUAUGU